GCAAUAUUUAGUUCUGCUUAUACAGGCUGCAAUUAAACCUUUCUGCUAAAUUUUGAUAUAUUGAUCCUUAUUAAAAAUAAAAAUACACAUAUUUUUUCUUUUAUAAUCACUCAGUAUUAAAAUGUUGAGAAAUAGCUUCCGAAAGUUAUCCUAAAAA